rnacentral:rRNA from 1 species
ACACGACUACAUUAGAUACCCGGGUAGUCCUAGCCGUAAACGAUACUCGCUAGGUGUCGGCCACGGUGCGACCGUUGUCGGUGCCGUAGGGAAGCCGUGAAGCGAGCCACCUGGGAAGCACGGCCGCAAGGCUGAAACUUAAAGGAAUUGGCGGGGGAGCACAACAACGGGUGGAGCUUGCGGUUUAAUUGGAUUCAACGCCGGAAAUCUUACCGGGACCGACAGCAACAUGAAGGCCAAGCUGAAGACUUUGCCGGAUUAGCUG